rnacentral:rRNA from 1 species
AUUGAACGCUGGCGGCAGGCUUAACACAUGCAAGUCGAACGGCAGCACGGACUUCGGUCUGGUGGCGAGUGGCGAACGGGUGAGUAAUACAUCGGAACGUGCCCAGUUGUGGGGGAUAACUACUCGAAAGAGUAGCUAAUACCGCAUGAGAACUGAGGUUGGAAGCAGGGGAUCGUAAGACCUUGCGCAACUGGAGCGGCCGAUGGCAGAUUAGGUAGUUGGUGGGAUAAAAGCUUACCAAGCCGACGAUCUGUAGCUGGUCUGAGAGGACGACCAGCCACACUGGGACUGAGACACGGACCAGACUCCUACGGGAGGCAGCAGUGGGGAAUUUUGGACAAUGGGCGAAAGCCUGAUCCAGCAAUGCCGCGUGCAGGAUGAAGGCCUUCGGGUUGUAAACUGCUUUUGUACGGAACGAAAAGCUUCGGGUUAAUACCCUGGAGUCAUGACGGUACCGUAAGAAUAAGCACCGGCUAACUACGUGCCAGCAGCCGCCGUAA